rnacentral:rRNA from 1 species
UACGAAGGGGGCUAGCGUUGUUCGGAAUUACUGGGCGUAAAGCGCACGUAGGCGGAUUGUUAAGUCGGGGGUGAAAUCCUGAGGCUCAACCUCAGAACUGCCUUCGAUACUGGCGAUCUUGAGUUCGGAAGAGGUUGGUGGAACAGCUAGUGUAGAGGUGAAAUUCGUAGAUAUUAGCUAGAACACCAGUGGCGAAGGCGGCCAACUGGUCCGACACUGACGCUGAGGUGCGAAAGCGUGGGGAGCAAGCAGG